AUUAUUGCCAGUGUUAUACAUGGCCGGACACUGCGCCACGCGACUGCAUUGCCAGCCACGAGGAAGUCUGACAAGUAUCACAAGCUCGAGGACUGACUGGACUAUAAAGUGGGACUUGUCUUAAAAGAUUAUAAAAAGCAAACAAGGUGAGGAAAUGCCUCGUUCUGUAAAAUGCCUGCCAUGCAAGCAAGCAGACCCAAGUUUCAGCCCCUGCAUCAAUAUAGAAAAGAAAAGAAGAGCCAAGCCAAGUGUAGCAGGGCAUGUCUGCAACACUAGCACUGAUC
ensembl:processed_transcript Gm15787 predicted gene 15787